rnacentral:misc_RNA from 1 species
GAUGAAGAACGUAGUGAAAUGCGAUAAGUAAUGUGAAUUGCAGAAUUCAGUGAAUCAUCGAAUCUUUGAACGCACAUUGCGCCCCUUGGUAUUCCGGGGGGCAUGCCUGUUCGAGCGUCAUUUCAACCCUCAAGCUCAGCUUGGUAUUGAGUCCAUGUCAGUAAUGGCAGGCUCUAAAAUCAGUGGCGGCGCCGCUGGGUCCUGAACGUAGUAAUAUCUCUCGUUACAGGUUCUCGGUGUGCUUCUGCCAAAACCCAAAUUUUCUAUGGUUGACCUCGGAUCAGGUAGGGAUACCCGCUGAACUUAAGCAUAUCAAUAAGCGGAGGA